GACGAACGCUGGCGGCGUGCUUAACACAUGCAAGUCGAACGGUGAAGGGACCAGCUUGCUGGUUCUGGAUGAGUGGCGAACGGGUGAGUAACACGUGAGUAACCUGCCCCCUUCUUCUGGAUAACCGCAUGAAAGUGUGGCUAAUACGGGAUAUUCUGGGUCUGUCGCAUGGCGGGCCCGGGAAAGAUAUUGCUUCGGUGGGGGAUGGGCUCGCGGCCUAUCAGCUUGUUGGUGGGGUGAUAGCCUACCAAGGCGGUGACGGGUAGCCGGCCUGAGAGGGUGGGCGGUCACACUGGGACUGAGACACGGCCCAGACUCCUACGGGAGGCAGCAGUGGGUAAUAUUGCACAAUGGGCGCAAGCCUGAUGCAGCGACGCCGCGUGAGGGAUGGAGGCCUUCGGGUUGUAAACCUCUUUCGCCAGUGAAGCAGGCCUGCUCCUUGUGGGUGGGUUGACGGUAGCUGGAUAAGAAGCGCCGGCUAACUACGUG
rnacentral:rRNA from 1 species